rnacentral:tRNA from 1 species
AAUAAGGUGCCUGAUAAAAGGGUUACUUUGAUAGAGUAAAUCAUGUAAGUUAUUCUUAUUCUUAUUA